rnacentral:rRNA from 1 species
UAGCGUAAUCACUUGUUCUUUAAAUAAGGACCAGUAUGAAGGGCUAAACGAGAAUCUAUCUGUCUCUUGCAGGAGGCCAGUGAAAUUGAUCUUCCUGUGCAAAAGCAGGGAUGUCAACAUUAGACGAGAAGACCCUGUGAAACUUCAAACCCCUAAAUCACAACAAGUUGUAAAAUACCAACCCAAGCGGGCUGACUACAGCUAUCACACCGAUUUAGCGUUUUCGGUUGGGGCGACCCCAAAAUAAAAAAAACUUUCCAGGAAAACAGUAACACGACACCUACUGACCAAGACCCACACCACAAAGUGCUUAAAUGUAAUCAGAUCCGGCACACGCCGAUUCAUGAACCAAGCUACUCCAGGGAUAACAGCGCAAUCCCCCUCAAGAGCCCGUAUCGACAGGGGGGUUUACGACCUCGAUGUUGGAUCAGGACAUCCUAAUGGUGUAACCGCUAUUAAUGGUUCGUUUGUUCAACGAUUAAAGUCCUACGUGAUCUGAGU